GUGGGGAAUAUUGGACAAUGGGCGCAAGCCUGAUCCAGCCAUGCCGCGUGAGUGAUGAAGGCCCUAGGGUUGUAAAGCUCUUUCACCGGUGAAGAUAAUGACGGUAGUCGGAGAAGAAGCCCCGGCUAACUUCGUGCCAGCAGCCGCGGUAAUACGAAGGGGGCUAGCGUUGUUCGGAAUUACUGGGCGUAAAGCGCACGUAGGCGGAUAUUUAAGUCAGGGGUGAAAUCCCAGAGCUCAACUCUGGAACUGCCUUUGAUACUGGGUAUCUCGAGUAUGGAAGAGGUGAGUGGAAUUCCGAGUGUAGAGGUGAAAUUCGUAGAUAUUCGGAGGAACACCAGUGGCGAAGGCGGCUCACUGGUCCAUUACUGACGCUGAGGUGCGAAAGCGUGGGGAGCAAACAGGAUUAGAAACCCCAGUAGUCC
rnacentral:rRNA from 1 species